rnacentral:rRNA from 1 species
CUACGGGAUGCAGCAGUGGGGAAUAUUGGGCAAUGGGCGCAAGCCUGACCCAGCAACGCCGCGUGAGGGAAGAAGGUUUUCGGAUUGUAAACCUCUGUCCUUGGGGACGAAGAAGUGACGGUACCCAAGGAGGAAGCUCCGGCUAACUACGUGCCAGCAGCCGCGGUAAUACGUAGGGAGCAAGCGUGGUCCGGAAUUACUGGGCGUAAGGGUGCGUAGGCGGCAUAUUAAGUCAGGUGUGAAAUACUAGGGCUCAACCCGGGGGCUGCAUUUGAAACUGAUAUGCUUGAGUGUGAGAGAGGAAAGUGGAAUUCCUAGUGUAGCGGUGGAAUGCGUAGAUAUUAGGAGGAACACCAGUGGCGAAGGCGACUUUCUGGCUCAUAACUGGCGCUGAGGCACGAAAGCGUGGGGAGCAAACAGGAUUAGAUACCCCUGUAGUC